GGGCGGGCUGCCUCUGGGGGGUUGUGGGGGCGGGCUGCCUCUGGGGUUGUGGGGGCGGGCUGCCUCUGGGGGGUUGUGGGGGCGGGCCCCAUGAUAGCAGGCUAUUUCUAGACUGCUGACUAAACAUUUGAGAUUGGCUUUUAUCCCAAUGUGGUGUAAUCCAAGAUGAUCAAAUGGACCACUUGUGGAAGGACUGCCCAGGGCCCAGUUUUUGUUUGCCCCGUUAGGCUGGUACUGGGGAGCAGUUAACACAGGCCAGCCUAGCUCAGUGGAACCCUAUUGGAAUGUCCCAUGCUGCUAUUGAAUAAAUUACAUUUGCAUGACCUUAAUGAAUGCUAAUGUUUUUUAAGUUCUCAUCAGUCUUUCUGGAAGUCUUAAUUGAGGCAAUUGAGUCAUUUCUGGCAGAUUUGGGGGAGCAAUCCAAAUGAGUUUAAAGGAAGUUAAACAAAUGUGAAUUAAGAAAACGGUCAUGCUUUGAUUCAACUUUAUUUUUUUUAUAUACUUUUUUGGGUUUAUUCCAGAUGUGGGUUGAUGCUCUCAAGAACUCCUAGUUUGCAAUCUGAAUGGCACCCUAAUCCCUUUAUAAGUGAACUACUUCUGACCUAGACCUAUAGGGGUGAGUGUUCACUUAUAUAGGAAAUAGGGCGCCAUUUUAGCUGAAUAUUAUUUUCUGUGCCAGGCUGCUGUUUUUUCCAGCCGUGAAGCUUUUCUUUUUUUACGUUUCAACAUUGGAGGAAGUACACCGGACGGUUAUGCUUUCUUGUUCGAAGAAUGUUUGUUUUAAAUAGUUCAUGUUAUUGAACUCUGGUUGAGAGAACUGCAUGUUAGAGGAAUAGAGAGGAGAUUAAUGUUGGUAUUUAACUUAUCUUCAUUUUGUCCUUGUUCAGGCAAGAUUGCAACAGAAGUUGUCUGUUUUGUUUUUCCUUUGUGCUGGUGUCCAAACAUUGUAAAGCAGAAUCCUGGACUAGUGUCAUUGUAAGAAUAACUCCUAAUUUAGUUUUGACUUCAGUUCAGCUGAAUGUCUGAAUGUGGACCACAUCUCUUCCUGAGUCUGAAAACACCCCCAAGCAACGUUCCUGCUUUUACUCAACAGAGUAGUCUACAUGGCUGGAUCCAGGUGUAGCCAUGCUCACCUGCCAAUCCUGAAAUGGCUUUCAUUUUGUCAAAACAUUCAAUUGAGCAUCUUCUCAUGGACCUCAUAAUCAAAUCUAGUUGUUUAUCAGUUUGCUGGUUUCAUCCUACUGGGUAGAAUAGACCUCAGUGUGCCUGUGUCCCAGCUGAAAUUAAGUAGAACAGUGAAAUUGAGCAUCUUUGUAUCCAGGCUCACAGUUGUCACCAGCAGCUUCAUAAGCAGUAGAAAAACAAGAUGUUGCACUGAAACGGGUUCCUCAGCUGUGUGGACUGCGCCUGUGAGGAUGGCUGUAUGUUGGCCAUUUCCCAAGGCGCCUCUUAUUUUGGUAAUUUGUCUUAUAGUAAGACCUUUCCCUGUGUUGUUUUAUGCAGAUCCCAUUUUACCAUGUUCUCUGGUCAUUUGCAUUCUAAGGACAGCUUCCAACAUUCAUUUUUGUUAACACAUUUUGGUUUAAUUCCAAAUGAUAUUUUUGAUUCCCUGAGACCUAGAAGUAAUGAAAUCUCAAACCAAGGGCUCAUGUUGAAGGAGCUAGUGUGCAUCCCAAAUGUCUCUAUACAUCAGGGCUGUUUCGGUCCUACCUGGUAGUUAAUUAAGCUCACCUGGUGUCCCCAGGUUUGAGUCAGCCCAAGUUAGACAAAAACCAGACACACUUUGUCCUUCCAGGGCCAGAGGAGCAGCACUGUCUUCUAUAGUGCACAAGUUUAGAAGGGCUGAUACAGCCACAUGAAGGGAACCAGGGAGUGAUUUGGGAGGCCAGUGUUCUAGCCACAUAAAGGUCCAAGGAUAUUUUUGCAAUUCACUCGCGCCUUGAGUCUUUCUGUAGCUUGUGGGUGGGCUCAGGGUUGUAAUGUGUUCAGAUCCAAGAUGAUCAAUGCUUCUGCUUGUUACGAUGGUGUCUUAUGAUUUCAGUUGAAGAUAAGCUAACAUAUACCCUGACUAUUCUCACUUAAUGAGUCUGGCCUGGUGGCUAGUCUGAAAUCCUGUCUGUGCUGACACGACACUUCAGGUGUUUAAUUUCAGACUACUGUGUUUUUAGGUUGUGUCCCACUUCAAAACUACAAAUACUGUCUGAAACAAAAUGUUAUUGAACGUGCAUUGUUCAUGUUCAAGAAUGUUGACUAAAGUCCCUGAACAACUUAAAUUCAACCUGCUAGAGCGUUGUCCAUCUGAAAGUGGUACCAGCAAAUCUAUGCAGAUGUUUUCCUACUUUUUUUUUUUUUUUUUUUUACACUGUAUUUUUGUUUGAAUGAUGUACAUUUUGUUUUGGUUAGGGCCCCUCAUUGGCUUUCUGUUCAGUAGUUUUGGCUGUGAGACUUCCAGGACCUGUCAGUCUGUCCUGUUGUCUGGCCUGCUGUGGUUUAAUCAGCGGCCUGUUGGCACAUAAAGGAGAGGGGUUAUGCAACUGCAGCAGAAACAAUGGAUUUUAAAAAGCACUUUAUGUAAUGGCAGACCUCAACCCAAACCAGUUUCUCCAGGUCAUUGCAAAACAAUUUUUUAUAUUGUAUCAUUCUUUUUUGGAAAACUUUAAAUAAAUAAAAAAUGCUUUCAUCCACCAUGAUUAUUUCUCUUUUCACUUGAAGUGCAUUUUGGGUUUGUUCUCUAAACUGUUUCUCUCAGUCUAACUGGGUAAAGAUGUUGUGGAUCAUUCUCUCUGCCAGCUGUUCCAGUACCACAGGUGUCUGGAUUAGGAGCUUUUAAAGAGGCUGGAAAAUGAUGUCUCCACACAGAUUGUAAGUGACAUGAGAGAACUGACAACAGGCUGUAAUGUGUUUUAUAACAUCUCCAGACAGUGGCCAUAUCAGACCUUUUUAGGUUUCAGUAGUUACACUAACUGAUAACACUUGACAUGUAGAAAUACCAGCAGAAGGCAAGUGUUGAGCAAGCUAGUAAUCAGAUCGUGUGUGUGUGGCACUGUGCUGAUGCAACCUACUGUAAGCACUCCCUCUGUUUCCCUCAUCCACCUCCCUCCCUCCCUCCCUAGAGACUGAUCACCUCGUGGUCACAUCCCGCUGAGCUGUAGGGAACAGAAGGGUUCGUCUCCAGUGUAUUUACACCAAUGAUGUCAUACGUACACGCUAAAUGAUAUCCAUGAUUUACACAAGUGAUGAGGUGGCGCGGGUACAUAACCGCUAACUGCCGGGUGGACUGCGUGAUGAGAUGUUGAGGAGCACGUUGGGCUGAACAUUACCAGAAUCUGUCCGAGGGUUGUCCGGGCAAUCUGAGAAGCUGCCUUCGGGCCACAGGUACUGCUGUGGCACGCGUUUGAUUCAGACCCAAUCCUCUUUCAGCAAAAACCUUUCGGUCAAAAAAAUUGUAGAGAAGAUUAGAAUAACGCACAUUCCUAGAGUCCUCUUGAAUAAGUGUAAUGUGACUGGGUCUCUAAUAGCUAUAUAUCUUACUGUAGGCUAAUCAAGGUAACCUUAUUGGCGUAUGCAGGAUUUGGUCUAAAUGAGCGCACUACACUUGUGUGCAGGUUUCCAUCUAGUCUCCUUGCUACUCAGUGGGCAUGGCGAAAUUGUAUUCCACAAAACGGUUCCUUACUACGUGGUGCCUUCUGGUGUUUAGAAUAUGGUACUGCAAAUGUUAUGACACGGUUCAGAAUCAAAGCAUCUCAAUCGUUUCUGUAGUCCAGACCUUCAAGGAGUGAAGUCUUACAGCUUUGAACUGACAGAAAUGCAUAGAAGUACAGAGUGAUUUAAAGCCAAACCAUGUGUAAUGCAAAACGGUUUAUUUGCUAAAGAAAACACGCAAAAACUAGCGUCUGACCGCAAAACUAGUGUCUUACUACAUAACACUUCGUCAGUCAACGUCGUAUCGUAUCAGGCGCCUUGAGGUGGAGCCAGACAGUCCUCCGGAUCCGCAGACGCAGCCAAACGUCGACACGGAUACGCACGGAGACCAGCGUUGCCAGAUGAGGCAGGUUGCUAGAUAUUGGGUUAUUUUAGCCGGACCGGGUAAGAAUAGCGAAUGUGACUAACUGACAGACCCUUGUUAAGUAUCGUAGUGGUUAGAGAAGCGGACUUGUAAACUAUAAGUCCCGAGGUCGUAUCUCCUUGCAGGCGAAGCGAAGUACGCAUUGUGAAUUAUUCCGUAUUGACCAAAACUUCACUGGCUGAAACUGUAUAUGGUUAUAUUGCGACUGUUUCGGGCAUGGAAUAGUUCAUCUUCAGUCUCGCUAGCAAUUGCUCAAAUCUUAUGAUUAUUCCUAGGAAGUUAGUAGAUACUAGUAAGCCUAUUACUGGCUAAUAAGCUGUUAAAACGACUAGUGGCAAAAGAAAUACAGUUCAUAGACGCUAUAGUGGUGGUAAACGUAAUAAGGAAACGGCAAAACAAGACACUGAGUGCAGAUAGUUUAUUGCAGUUACUGAGAAUUACAUGUUCAUUAAGUAAUGAGUUAAUACAUCUUAUCAUGUAAUACUUAGUUGCAAAGUUGGGCCAUUUGGCAGACACAUUUAACACACACACCCCGACAAUUAACUUGAAGGGAAUUUACAACAUGAGAUGGCAUAUGUGCCUGAUCUUGAAGCAAAGCUGACUAGCAGUCUGGUUUAAGAGCUGGAUGGUGCUCAGUCAGUCAGGCAGGACAGCACUAUGCUUACUGUAGUCACCAUGGUGAUCAGAAGUCCAGCCUUCAACAACAGGUAACAGGCCACCCCCACAAUCAAGAUCUCUAAGAGAGACAGGGAGGAAGAAAUGAAUGUACUAUGAAUAAGAGGAUAAAUGACAAAUGCACAUUUAAAAUGUUGAAGGGGGGGUAAGCGAGCAGAUAAGUUCUAUCAAAUCAAAUAUUGAUCAACUCUUGUACCCGUAUAGUGAAGAUAACCCAAUAGUAAUGGACAGUAACUAGGUUAAACCAUGUGGAUGAUAACCCAAUAAUACAGGACAGUAACUAGGUUAAACCAUGUGGAUGAUAACCCAAUAAUACAGGACAGUAACUAGGUUAAACCAUGUGGAUGAUAACCCAGUAAUACUGGAGAGUAACUAGGUUAAACCAUGUGGAUGAUAACCCAAUAAUACAGGACAGUAACUAGGUUAAACCAUGUGGAUGAUAACCCAAUAAUACAGGACAGUAACUAGGUUAAACCAUGUGGAUGAUAAACUAAUGAUCCUGAAUGGUUAGUAGGUUGAACCAUGUGGAUGAUAAACUAAUGAUCCUGAACGGUUAGUAGGUUGAACCAUGUGGAUGAUAAACUAAGGAUCCUGAACGGUUAGUAGGUUGAACCAUGUGCCUUAACUGACUACAUACAUACCGGCCUUUGUCUUGAUUGUGGGCACAGUAGCUGUGGAUACGGCAGCAGUAGGAAGAUCUGGAGGAAAGAAUGUCAUGUAUUCUUAAUUGGAUUGAGGUGCAGUCUUUGACUGGGACACUCCAGGAAAUUCUGAUUUUUAAAACCAACUCCUUUUUGCUUUGAAUGUUCCUUUGUUUUCAUUAUGUAAUUUUUGUUAAGAAUUGUACUAACCAACUGUGGGACUUCGCAGAGACAGGUGUAUUUAACCUGAAAUCACGCGAAUAACCUCAACUGCACACAGGUGCACUCCAUUCAACUCAUGUGACUUCUAGAGACAGCUGGUUGUAACACAGCUCAUUGAGGUGAAAACCUUGUUUCUUUUUUUAAUUAAUGGACAUUUUAUAUAUAUUGAUCAGUGACAAAAACUCCUGAUUACAUUUUGAUUUUGAGUUGUAACACAAUUCUGAGAGACACUGAAUGUCAUAUGAGUGAGUCCUCACUGAACUCAGACAGAACAACUAAUCUGUAGAAUAUUCACAAACUAAUCAACUGAAUGUUCAUUUCGGAGGAUGGACUGUUGAGAUGUAACCAAUCACACUGUAGCCAGAACUUUCUAAUACUCCACAGUGUUUGGGUACUUCAGCAACACAUGGAGUCGUAUGAAGCUUCACAUGUAAUAAGUCAACAUGUUAAUCAGACAGAACGUGUUUCCUCACCUUCCACGACGAUGACUCCCACCGUGCCAAUGGCAUCGGGCGGCUGUGUUUUACAGCUGUAGUUCCCGCUGUCCUUCACUCUGGCAUCACUCACAUGCAGACACAGGGAGAUGUUUCCCUGAAUGGACGAGGCACUCAGGAGGACAUGGUCAUCCUUCCACCACUGAACGGUGUGAUAUGACUUCAGGCAGCUGAACUUACAGGUCAGGUUGAAACUCUGGCCGGACAGGAGCCUCUGGUCGCCGAAGUCUGAGUCGAUGGAGGUGUCGCUGCAACCUAAGACGGCUCACAGAAAACUCUUGUCUUGUUAUAACCAGUGGUUAUGCCGUGCACUUGUUAUAAACACUCGUUCAGCCAUGAACAUGUUAUAAACACUUGUAACUAGGUUUAAACAGAUUUUUACUUCAUCAUCUGUCUUAGGAAAAAAAACUUCAUUUCAGAUUACAGAAGGGCCAACAAUCAUAGGCUGAUUACAACCUACCUUCAACAUGAACCAAGACAAAGACCAUCCCCCAGGUCAGAUACAUCAUUUGAAUCUGGUCUACUGGUUAAUAAAUCCACCCGUCUGUCAGUUCACAGCUUGCUAUGUCGACUACCCAGCCACAGGCUGAAUGGAAGUUACAGUGUUUGACAACUCGCAGCCAUGCAGGAAAUGCAGUGCUGAGCUCUGAAUGGUGUUUCAGUGAAAAAAAGGUAGAUGGUUUGAUAACACUGACCAACAGACAUUACCUCCUACUGACAGGAAAACCUUUGCAAAUGUGCAACAACAACUGGGGCUGGCGUGGAGCCCAGAGGUAGAUGGGAAGACGUAUGUUCAAAUGUACAAAUGCAGUCAAUAUACCACAGCUAAGAACAAAAUGGAGUGUUUACAUUUAACUUCUGACAGAAUUUGGACAAUGGCACAUCUCUGGGGUUCUUGUCACUGCGUUUUAAAUGAUCCGAUGACUACUGGGUUGACUAGUGAAAGCUGAAUAUGACUACGGGGUUGACUAGUGAAAGCUGAAUAUGACUACGGGGUUGACUAGUGAAAGCUGAAUAUGACUACGGGGUUGACAAGUGAAAGCUGAAUAUGGCCAAGGUAAAGGCCUCCCCAGGGUAAACACUCCUCAAAGGAUGUGCGACCAAGUACUAAUCAUUACUUAUUUAUUGUAUGUAACUUUAAUAUGCCCAAAUACUUCUGGCACCCUAAAAUGUGGGAACUAUGUAAAAAAACACACUGUGAUUUCAAAAUUAUUAAUACGAUAAAAAAAACUGAAAUUUAAGCGGCCACGUUCAAUGACCCCAUAGUAAUUUAUUAUUUCAAAAAAGCUGGAAUACAGAAGAAAACAAAUAGGUCAUUUCCAAAUACUUUUAGAGAUUAGUGUGCAUACAUUAGUGACAGUAGUCAGAGUAGUUAGCAUGGUUCGAUCUAGAUUGAGCAAAGUAAUUACAGGUGUAUCCCACAGCAAUCUUAAUAGAACAAGGCCUUCCUCCAUUUUAGUGAUUAACAAAAAAGACUGUAAUGCCUCGCAUCUCAGAAUUGGACUCCUUAAUGUUAGCUCUCGUGGUUCAGAGGCAAUUGCAGGUAAUUAAUUAAUCACUGAUCAUAAGCUGGAUAUAACUGGCCUGUUGUGAAACCGGGCUAAAGCCUGAUGCUUACUGUCCUAAAUGAGGCUACAUUGAUCAUAUCCAGGGGUGUAAAAAGUACAAAGUAGAAAUACUCGGCUGUGUUCACCAGUUUUGGGAAGUUCCUAAAGAAGGGUUAAAUGACCAUGUAAACAGAGUUCAUAACUCAUCAGUGUCCUUAAUUGAUAAUUUACACUCUUCCUUUUUAUUUAAUUGAUCACUAGUUAGUUUUGAACUCCCUUUACCUGGUUAUUUAGAUCUUAAUUAGAUACUUCCCAAAAGUGGUGAACACAGCCGAACCCAGUACUUUUACUUUGUACUUUUUACACCUCUGAUCAUAUCCCUGUGAAUCCCAUAAAGGGGGAGGUGUUGCUAAUAUGUAUAACAAAAAUCAAGUUCUUAUUUGUCAUUACUCCAUUUGUAAUAAUUGUUGCACCAACAGCCAGUACAAAUUCCUAGUUUGAUGUGGAACUUUCUUGGCAAUGAAACUCUUUCUGAAUCUGAUUUACAGUGAAACACAUGACAGGGUUUCUGUCUUUUAAGGUUUUAGUCAUGAAAGCUAUGCAGGCCACUCAAUAAUUGUUCAGAGCAACUGUUUACAGCCCCCCUGGGACGUAUUCAGUGUUCCUCAAUAAGUUCCCAGAAUUCUUAUCAAACCUUAAGGUCACAACAGAAAAUAUUCUAAUUGGCCAUUUCAAUAUUCACUUGGAAAAGUCCCAUAAUUGACUCAGUGGGUUACAUCUUGGGAUAUACACCUUAGUCUUAUUCCAUGGAAUACAUAUUGUGGAUCUGAUGUGGAAGUGUUUUCCCUCAUAAUCCAGGUGAAUAAAAAUAAUCCAACAUUUGUAUUUGUGGCAGUUAACCAAAAUGCAACACGCAACAAGUGAUGAAAACCUGAACUUCUUUGAUAAAAAGAUCAUCAUCACUAGAAAACAAGUAACAGACUCCUUGUGAAUUAAGUCCUCAAAAACUCAGUCCAGAGCUACCCUGACCUGGAACUAAUGGGGACAAUUGGACUUUUGAAUUCCAUAUAGCUUGAUAUGUUCACUAAAAUAUAAAUGAGCUCUAAACCCACCAGAUGUUAACUAAACUACUUAAGGAGCUGGUGCUUGGUCUGCCUGUUUUGAACAUUCUAAAUAUAAAUGUGUAUCUAACUCAAUAAAAGAGGCAGAAAUUGCUAACCUGCAAAGAAUUACAUGGACUUCCUCCUAUAUAGCUCUCUGAAUUGGUCCAACCAUACAUAUCUAAACAUAGGCUAAGAUGGAGGCCUCCUUAUUGUAACUAGGAAUUUCUAAACAAACAGCUGUAGGAAAAUGUGGGUGGAGUUACUUCCUGCCUGGCUGGCCCUGUCCAGGAUUCCUUCAGACAGGGCCAGAGUGUCUCUGGACCCCCCUGUCUCAACCUCUAGUUUUAGGCUGCUUUAUUAUUGUGCCGGGGGACUAGGGACAGCCUGUGUUUUCUUAAGUCCCAAAUGUUUAAGUUGCAUUAGUUUAUGUGAUCGGGACAAGGGUCAGUCUGAAAAGUGCUCAGGUAUGGUUUUGAAUCCAUGGAAUUCUCAGGUAUGGUUUUGAAUCCAUGGAAUUCUCAGGUAUGGUUUUGAAUCCAUGGAAUGCUCAGGUAUGGUUUUGAAUCCAUGGAAUGCUCAGGUAUGGUUUUGAAUCCAUGGAAUUCUCAGGUAUGGUUUUGAAUCCAUGGAAUUCUCAGGUAUGGUUUUGAAUCCAUGGAAUGCUCAGGUAUGGUUUUGAAUCCAUGGAAUGCUCAGGUAUGGUUUUGAAUCCAUGGAAUGCUCAGGUAUGGAAUGCUAAGGUCACCCCUCAGAGCCAGGUUCCUCUCUAUGUUUCUAAGUUUUGACCCUUUUAGGGAGUUUUUCCUAGCCACAGUGCAUCGACUUUCUUGUUGCUGGCUCUUUGGGGUUUCAGGCUGGGUGUUUAUAAAAUCACUUUGUGACAACUGCUGAUGUAAACAAUUAAUUCAUAAAAUAAAUGUGAUUGAUUUGCCUUCUUAGCCUGGAAUGGAUACUAUUUCUCUAAAAGUGUACAAUGUGUAAAAUCUGAGAGCCUGCUGUUUAAUCCACAGGCUGCUUCAGUGGAUGUUCCCCUGGGUUCAAUUCUUGGGCCUGUCAUAUUUUAUGUAUAAAUCAAUAGCCGGUGACUCUCUUAUCCACCUCUGCAGUGUUCUGUAUACAUCUGGCCCCACAUGUGCUGAUCACCCUUCAACACAGCUUCAGUAACACACCACACACCUCCCUUGGUCUUCAACUACUCCUUAACUCCAGUAGGCUAAAACUAAAUACAUACUCCUCAAUCAGAAACUACCUACAGUGAGGGGGAAAAGUAUUUGAUCCUCUGCUGAUUUUGUACGUUUGCCCACUGACAAAGAUAUGAUCUGUCU
ensembl:lncRNA